rnacentral:rRNA from 1 species
CCUACGGGAGGCUGCAGUGAGGAAUAUUGGUCAAUGGGCGGGAGCCUGAACCAGCCAAGCCGCGUGAGGGAAGAAGGUACAGCGUAUCGUAAACCUCUUUUGUCAGGGCACAAAGGCCGGGACUCGUCCCCCGACGAGGGUACCUGGAGAAAAAGCAUCGGCUAACUCCGUGCCAGCAGCCGCGGUAAUACGGGGGAUGCGAGCGUUAGCGGGAUUUAUUGGUUUUAAAGGGUGCGCAGGCGGCAUGGUAAGUCCACGGUAAAAGCCCAGGGCUCAACCCCGGCCCGCCGUGGAAACUGGGGUGCGGGAGUGGGAGAGAAGGACGCGGAAUGCGCGGUGUAGCGGUGAAAGGCUUAGAUAGCGCGCAGAACUCCGAUUGCGAAGGCAGCGUACCGGCGCCACACUGACGCUGAGGCACGAAAGCGUGGGUAUCGAACAGGAUUAGAUACCCGAGUAGUC